rnacentral:rRNA from 1 species
UCGGUAGGUGAACCUGCCGUUGGAUCAGUUCUAGUUUUAAUAACUAAUACCUACUUCUUUUAUUUAAACUCAAAACAAUACAAAUAAUAAAAACUAACUUCAUCAAAACUCAAGUCUCUAGGCAAUGGAUGUCUUGGCUCCUCACACGAUGAAGAACGUGGCAUAAUGUGUUAAGUAACCGGAGUUGCAAACAUCAUGACAGGUUAAUCUUUGAAUGCAAAUUGCGCCCUUCCGGUUUCGGCCGUGUGGGCAUGGAUGCAACAGUACUACAUAAUUUAUAAUAAUUCUUAUUCUAUGCGAAUAAGUAAAUAAAUUAUAAAACAAACUAUACGUAGUCUGCUGCAUGCAGGAAGACCCGCUGAAACUGAAGCAA